rnacentral:rRNA from 1 species
UGUUUUUCGUUUUUAUCAAAAAUAAUUUCUGCCCACUGAGUUUUUGAAGGGCCGCAGUAAUUUGACUGUGCAAAGGUAGCAUAAUCAUUAGCCUCUUAAUUAGAGGAUGGAAUGAAUGGAGUUUCCUUGAAUUUCUUUAUUGUGAGAUAAAAAUUAAAAUUUUAAUAAAAAUGAGAAUAUUUUUAAUUUUAAAAAAGACGAUAAGACCCUAUAGAGCUUUAUUUAUUUUUUAAUAAAUUAAUUUUUAUUUAAAAUUAAAUUUUAUUGGGGCAAUAAUAGAAUAAUAAAAACUUCUAUAAAUUAAAAUCUUAUUUAUAAAAAGAAAAAAGUUACCUUAGGGAUAACAGCGUUAUAUUUUUUGAGAGUUCUAAUCGACAAAACUGUUUGCGACCUCGAUGUUGAAUUAAAAUUUUUUUAAGGGGCAGAUUUUUUAUAAUACUGUCUGUUCGACUGUUAAAUUUUU